rnacentral:rRNA from 1 species
GACGAACGCUGGUGGCGCGCCUAAAACAUGCAAGUCGAACGAGAAGCCCGGGCUUGCCCGGGUGGACAGUGGCGAACGGGUGAGUAACACGUGAGGAACCUGCCCCGAAGACCGGGACAACAUCGGGAAACCGUUGCUAAUACCGGAUGCCCUCGAAGAAUCGCAUGGUUCAUCGAGGAAAUGGAUUCCGCUUCGGGAUGGCCUCGCGGCCUAUCAGCUUGUUGGUGAGGUAAUGGCUCACCAAGGCUUCGACGGGUAGCUGGUCUGAGAGGAUGUCCAGCCACACUGGGACUGAGACACGGCCCAGACUCCUACGGGAGGCAGCAGUUAGGAAUCUUGCGCAAUGGACGAAAGUCUGACGCAGCGACGCCGCGUGCGGGAUGAAGCCCUCGGGUUGUAAACCGCUUUCAGCAGGGACGAAAUUGACGGUACCUGCAGAAGAAGCCC